AGCUCAGCAGGCAGAGCAACUGACUUGUAAUCAGUAGGUCACCAGUUCGAUUCCGGUA
rnacentral:tRNA from 2 species